rnacentral:misc_RNA from 1 species
UCAAACUUGGUCAUUUAGAGGAAGUAAAAGUCGUAACAAGGUUUCCGUAGGUGAACCUGCGGAAGGAUCAUUAACAAAUCCUUUUUGAUGUAUAUUGUUUUUUUAUUUACAUGUACAUUUCUAUUCCAUUUGUGGAAUGUGAUUUGCAUUGUAAAGACAAACAAUGAUAUACAACAUACGUUCCCAUGUACAAAUGAUUGUGUUUGUACAUGUCAACAUAUUUCUACGAAUCAUCUGAUUGUAUCAUUUAUAAAUUAAUCAUAAAUAAUGACUUUUAACAAUGGAUCUCUAGGCUCUUGCAUCGAUGAAGAACGCAGC